rnacentral:rRNA from 1 species
AACGAACGCUGGCGGCAGGCUUAACACAUGCAAGUCGAACGGGCACCUUCGGGUGUCAGUGGCAGACGGGUGAGUAACGCGUGGGAACGUACCCUUCGGUUCGGAAUAACCCAGGGAAACUUGGGCUAACACCGGAUACGUCCGCAAGGAGAAAGAUUUAUCGCCGAAGGAUCGGCCCGCGUCGGAUUAGCUAGUUGGUGGGUAAUGGCCCACCAAGGCGACGAUCCGUAGCUGGUCUGAGAGGAUGANCAGCCACACUGGGACUGAGACACCGGCCCAGACUCCUACGGGAGGCAGCAGUGGGGAAUAUUGGACAAUGGGCGAAAGCCUGAUCCAGCCAUGCCGCGUGAGUGAAGAAGGCCUUAGGGUUGUAAAGCUCUUUCAGACGGGAAGAUAAUGACGGUACCCGCAGAAGAAGUCCCGGCUAACUUCGUGCCAGCAG